rnacentral:rRNA from 1 species
UCGGCGCGUCGGUCUCUGAAAGCCCCCGGCUCAACCGGGGAAGCGGAGCCGAAACGACCGGUCUCGAGGGAUGGAGGGGGACCUGGAACUUCCGGUGGAGCGGUGAAAUGCGUUGAGAUCGGAAGGAACGCCGGCGGCGAAAGCGAGGUCCUGGACGUCCACUGACGCUGAGACGCGAAAGCUGGGGGAGCGAACGGG